UUAUUAUGUUAUAAUAAGACUACAUUUGUUACAGGAUUGUUUAGUGUAAAUUAGAUGGAAAACUUCACCACUAGGGCUCUGUUAUACCAUCCAACAAGUGCACAGGUGUUAUGGAUAUGAUUGAAAUCCCGUGAGCAAGCUCGACAGGAAUCUGCAUUCAUUAAUGAUCCUUCCGCAGGUUCACCUACGGAAA
rnacentral:misc_RNA from 1 species